AGUGAACGCUGGCGGCAGGCCUAAUACAUGCAAGUCGAACGGCAGCACAGUGGAGCUUGCUCCAUGGGUGGCGAGUGGCGGACGGGUGAGGAAUACAUGGGAAUCUGCCCAGUCGUGGGGGAUAACGUAGGGAAACUUACGCUAAUACCGCAUGCGCCCUUCGGGGGAAAGCCGGGGACCUUCGGGCCUGGCGCGAUUGGAUGAGCCCAUGCUCGAUUAGCUAGUUGGCGGGGUAAAGGCCCACCAAGGCGACGAUCGAUAGCUGGUCUGAGAGGAUGAUCAGCCACACUGGGACUGAGACACGGCCCAGACUCCUACGGGAGGCAGCAGUAGGGAAUAUUGGACAAUGGGCGCAAGCCUGAUCCAGCCAUGCCGCGUGAGUGAAGAAGGCCCUCGGGUUGUAAAGCUCUUUUGUCCGGGAAGAAAAGCAUCGGGCUAAUACCUCGGUGUUCUGACGGUACCGGAAGAAUAAGCACCGGCUAACUUCGUG
rnacentral:rRNA from 1 species